AUGGCUCUCCUCACUGCACUCUCCCUCUUUAUCUCUCGUGCCGAGUACCGAUCCCUUCCCUUCCCUCCCCUUUGCAUUAAACCACUUUAUCGUCACGCUGCAGGAGAAGGAGAGAGGAACCAAAAUAGCUAGCUCCCUUUCCUUGCUUGCUUGGGAGUCCAAGAAACAAUAGGAGGCCGGCGGAGGGUAGAACAAGCAAACAUCCAUGGCGAAAGCUACUAAGCUGUUUCUCGGUAGUGUGGUCCUUCUUCUCUACAGUGGCCCCUUCAUCCAAGGUGCAACUGGGUAUGGUGAUGUCGUGGAACACACCCCUGUUCAGUCCAUGAAGACAUUCGAUCCGCGGGGUUCUUUGGCUUCCCUUAACAGGAAACUUUGUGGACCAUGUCUUUGUUGCUCGGGGAAUUCUGGCAAAAGCUGUUAUCCUACAAAAUGUUGUAUUUUGCUUCAAUGCACCGAUCCGCGAACUUGUUCACAGUCAAUCCUAGCUUGUAAUUGUAACAAUUGCGUGUAACCUAAGUUUUUUUUUUUUACCAUAGCAACUGGAUGCCAAUAUAAAUAGAAAAUGUUGAGAUGAUC